rnacentral:rRNA from 1 species
CCUACGGGAGGCAGCAGUAGGGAAUCUUUCACAAUGGGCGAAAGCCUGAUGGAGCAACGCCGCGUGCAGGAUGAAGGCCUUCGGGUUGUAAACUGCUUUUAUAAGCGAGAAAUAUGAUGGUAACUUAUGAAUAAGGAUCGGCUAACUACGUGCCAGCAGCCGCGGUCAUACGUAGGAUCCGAGCAUUAUCCGGAGUGACUGGGUGUAAAGAGUUGCGUAGGUGGCAUAAUAAGUAGCUAGUGAAAUCUGGUGGCUCAACCAUUCAGACUAUUAGCUAAACUGUUAAGCUCGAGACCGUUAGGGGUAACUGGAAUUUCUAGUGUAGGAGUGAAAUGCGUAGAUAUGAGAAGGAACACCAAUAGCGUAGGCAGGUUACUGGGACGGUUCUGACACUGAGGCACGAAAGCGUAGGGAGCAAACGGGAUUAGAUACCCGAGUAGUC